AUGUGUCCCGGUGGGCACCCUGGUCUUCAACACCAGUGGCAGGCAGUGCUGAGCUGGCUGCGGUGGGUUCGACUCCCAUGCCA
rnacentral:tRNA from 5 species